rnacentral:rRNA from 1 species
AGCGAACGCUGGCGGCAGGCUUAACACAUGCAAGUCGAGCGCCCCGCAAGGGGAGCGGCAGAAGGGUGAGUAACGCGUGGGAAUCUACCCAUCUCUACGGAAUAACGCAUGGAAACGUGUGCUAAUACCGUAUACGUCCUUCGGGAGAAAGAUUUAUCGGAGAUGGAUGAGCCCGCGUUGGAUUAGCUAGUUGGUGGGGUAAAGGCCUACCAAGGCGACGAUCCAUAGCUGGUCUGAGAGGAUGAUCAGCCACACUGGGACUGAGACACGGCCCAGACUCCUACGGGAGGCAGCAGUGGGGAAUAUUGGACAAUGGGCGCAAGCCUGAUUCAGCCAUGCCGCGUGAGUGAUGAAGGCCCUAGGGUUGUAAAGCUCUUUCACCGGUGAAGAUAAUGACGGUAACCGGAGAAGAAGCCCCGGCUAACUUCGUGCCAGCAGCCGCGGUAAGAC